UUUCCUCGCAAGGGGAAACUGAGUGGCGAACGGGUGAGUAACGCGUGGGUGACCUACCUUCGAGUGGGGGAUAACGUCCCGAAAGGGACGCUAAUACCGCAUGACAUCCUGCCUUUGAAUAGGUGGAGAUCAAAGCCGGGGAUCGCAAGACCCGGCGCUUGAUGAGGGGCCCGCGUCCGAUUAGCUAGUUGGUGGGGUAACGGCUCACCAAGGCGACGAUCGGUAUCCGGCCUGAGAGGGCGGACGGACACACUGGGACUGAGACACGGCCCAGACUCCUACGGGAGGCAGCAGUGGGGAAUUGUUCACAAUGGGCGCAAGCCUGAUGACGCAAUGCCGCGUGGAGGAUGAAGGUCUUCGGAUUGUAAACUCCUGUUGCCAGGGACGAAUGGCUCCGACCUAAUACGUCGGAGUAUGACGGUACCUGGUGAGGAAGCCCCGGCUAACUCUGUGCCAGCAGCCGCGGUAAUACAGAGGGGGCAAGCGUUGUUCGGAAUUACUGGGCGUAAAGGGCGCGUAGGCGGCCUUCUAAGUCGAACGUGAAAUCCCCGGGCUCAACCCGGGAACUGCGUCCGAUACUGGGAGGCUUGAAUCCGGGAGAGGGAUGUGGAAUUCCAGGUGUAGCGGUGAAAUGCGUAGAUAUCUGGAGGAACACCGGUGGCGAAGGCGGCAUCCUGGACCGGUAUUGACGCUGAGGCGCGAAAGCUAGGGGAGCAAACGGGAUUAGAUACCCCGGUAGUCCUAGCCCUAAACGAUGAAUGCUUGGUGUGGCGGGUAUCGAUCCCUGCCGUGCCGAAGCUAACGCAUUAAGCA
rnacentral:rRNA from 1 species